rnacentral:rRNA from 1 species
GAUGAACGCUGGCGGCGUGCCUAAUACAUGCAAGUCGAGCGAACGGACGAGAAGCUUGCUUUUCUGAUGUUAGCGGCGGACGGGGGAGUAACACGUGGAUAACCUACCUAUAAGACUGGGAUAACUUCGGGAAACCGGAGCUAAUACCGGAUAAUAUUUUGAACCGCAUGGUUCAAAAGUGAAAGACGGUCUUGCUGUCACUUAUAGAUGGAUCCGCGCUGCAUUAGCUAGUUGGUAAGGUAACGGCUUACCAAGGCAACGAUGCAUAGCCGACCUGAGAGGGUGAUCGGCCACACUGGAACAGAGACACGGUCCAGACUCCUACGGGAGGCAGCAGUAGGGAAUCUUCCGCAAUGGGCGAAAGCCUGACGGAGCAACGCCGCGUGAGUGAUGAAGGUCUUCGGAUCGUAAAACUCUGUUAUUAGGGAAGAACAUAUGUGUAAGUAACAGUGCACAUCUUGACGGUACCUAAUCAGAAAGCCACGGCUAACUACGUG